GGGUUCAGAGACUUAAAGGUUUCUGGAGGAUUUUUGAUGGUCGGGCCGCCAUCU
rnacentral:ncRNA from 12 species